AGAGUGUAGUGAAUGCGCCUGCGCAUCGAACGGCCAGAGUAAGAUUGGAUAGUCUACUGGAAGACAGUAGGCCCUGCCGCAAGGUGGGGAUGUGUGCWCCGGGGCGAGAGGCCGGAACACGCUAUCCGUCUAUGGGCUGCCUAGCCGGUGCACUUUCUCUGUGGUGAACACCACGACCGGUGGAACUGCCAGUCUGUCAUAGUCAAGUCGUAGUGGGCGGGCUUUCGGGUCUGCCUGCUGUGAUCACGGGCGUACUUGGUAAACGGCGUUAGUGCAUCUUUACGGUGUGCCGACGUGUUAUCGGCUACUAGUCGCUUUAUCGGGCCUGCUUAAUGCACGUUAUAGCCGUGUGUUUUGUGGUCUGGUGGACUUUGAUGGUAAUAAUAACUGUGCAGGGCACCGGAGUUUUCGGCCUCAAAUGCAGUCUGCAUGCGUGCUAUGAAUGUGUUUGUGGGUGUCGUCGCGAGCUGGCUGUUGUUGGAUUUGAUUGUCGUGUUGCCUGCGAAAAGUAGGCCCGGCAGUGGUUCGAUACAGAUUGGUCUUGUUGGCGGUGCCUGCGAUGUAGACUGUGGUGGGCCAGAUAGUCUGUGGUGUAGUGGUAGACGAGCUACCCGACCCGUCUUGAAACACGGACCAA
rnacentral:rRNA from 1 species